rnacentral:RNase_P_RNA from 1 species
UAAGUUAAUAUCUUUAUCACAUUUUUUUUACUUUUUUUCUAUAAAAAAUGAGGAAAGUCCGGACACUAAAGAGUAAUACAACGGAUAACAUCCGUCCAUUGUGAGAUGAGGAAUAGUGCAACAGAAAGUACGUAUAAUAUUUUAUAAUAUUAAUAGUGAAAUCAUGUAAACUCUGUAUAGUGAAAUGUCAUAAAAUACCAUUAUUUAUUUACUCGAUAGAAAAUGGUUGGUAGACAGAUAAAGAUAUAUAUGGUAACAUAUAUACUAGAUAAAUGAUAAAGUAAAUAACAGAAUCCGGCUUAUAUAUUAACUUAUAUU